rnacentral:rRNA from 1 species
UACGGAGGGAGCUAGCGUUAUUCGGAAUUACUGGGCGUAAAGCGCACGUAGGCGGCUUUGUAAGUAAGAGGUGAAAGCCCGGAGCUCAACUCCGGAAUUGCCUUUAAGACUGCAUCGCUAGAAUCAUGGAGAGGUGAGUGGAAUUCCGAGUGUAGAGGUGAAAUUCGUAGAUAUUCGGAAGAACACCAGUGGCGAAGGCGACUCACUGGACAUGUAUUGACGCUGAGGUGCGAAAGCGUGGGGAGCAAACAGG